rnacentral:rRNA from 1 species
UACAGAGGGUGCGAGCGUUAAUCGGAAUUACUGGGCGUAAAGCGUGCGUAGACGGUUAUUUAAGUCGGGUGUGAAAGCCCCGGGCUCAACCUGGGAAUUGCAUUCGAGACUGAAUAGCUAGGGUACGGUAGAGGGAUGCGGAAUUUCCGGUGUAGCGGUGAAAUGCGUAGAUAUCUGGAGGAACACCGGUGGCGAAGGCGGCAUCCUGGACCAACACUGACGCUCAUGCACGAAAGCGUGGGGAGCAAACAGG